CACGUAGGGUGCAAGCGUUGUCCGGAAUUAUUGGGCGUAAAGAGCUCGUAGGCGGCUUGUCGCGUCGUCCGUGAAAACCUGCAGCUCAACUGCAGGCUUGCGGUCGAUACGGGCAGGCUAGAGUUCGGUAGGGGAGGCUGGAAUUCCUGGUGUAGCGGUGAAAUGCGCAGAUAUCAGGAGGAACACCGGUGGCGAAGGCGGGUCUCUGGGGCCGAUACUGACGCUGAGGAGCGAAAGCGUGGGGAGCGAACAGG
rnacentral:rRNA from 1 species